rnacentral:rRNA from 1 species
UACGUAGGUGGCAAGCGUUUGUCCGGAUUUACUGGGCGUAAAGAGCGCGCAGGCGGCCAAGUCAGUCGAAUGUGAAAGCCCCCGGCUUAACUGGGGAGGGUCAUUCGAUACUGCUCGGCUCGAAGACAGGAGAGGGAAGUGGAAUUCCCGGUGUAGUGGUGAAAUGCGUAGAUAUCGGGAGGAACACCAGUGGCGAAGGCGACUUUCUGGCCUGUUCUUGACGCUGAGGCGCGAAAGCUAGGGGAGCAAACGGG